UGAAGUCAAUACCAUAAUAAAUAAUUAUAUUACAUUCAAUAUUCUUAAUAUGAUAGAUACAUGUUUAAAUGUAGUUUUAAACUCAAUGUUUUUUUCUUUUUCAUUUUAAUAUAGUACAUCAUUUAGUUUAUGACCUGAUAACCGCCUCUGGCGGAUACAUCAGCCACAUCAAAGAAGACAAAGCGAAAAUGUUUAAAAGAAUAAAGCCACCCCACGGAUCAUCAUGGCUCAUGCAUGCUCUUGUUUUUUAUAAAUAAAAAAAGAAGAAGAAAAAAUGUCGUUUGCCUCACUUUGCUAAGCCAAGUGCUUCUCUGCACAACUCUCCAGCCUUAUCACAUGUUUGAGAAACAAAAUAUCAGUGACCUCUGGAUUCAGUUCCUUCACAUGUUAAUGUAUGCCUCGUGCCUUACGGGACCGACUACCUGAAACAUCUGCCGCACACCCAUCUUUGCUUUCCUCUUCUUAGAUGGGCAUGUGCUUUGCAACCUUAUCAUACAUAAUCCACUCCUUACAGAUCAUCCUUUGUCCUCAACUAAAGCAACCGCUAAUGUUGUUCAUCUCUUCAGGUUCUCCACUUCUGUUUUACAAAGCCAACACACAAGACCUCAAUUUGCAUGUCUUUCCGGACCUUGUUACAUUCAAAAAACUAUACGACAUUAAACAAUAAAUAAUAUUCUGUAUUCAGUUCCCAAGAUAAAUGAAAAUCCUCUGCUUCAUGCUUCCUUGUCUCCUUUUGGACACAAACUGCACAGUAACAACCAUUACCCAUAGAUUCCGUUCAAGGACUAGAGCUAAUAUUUUUAAUGCUCCAACAUCUUAUCUUAAGGUCACCCAAUAUUCUUUAGUCUAUGACGGUACAACUCGCUGUUGGUUCUUUGAAGAAAGACAUGAAUUUCAAAUAUCAACAUGUAUAUAUAUGAGUAAUUAUUAUCAUCAUCAUCAAAGAAUCAGAAUGACUUAUUGUUAAUUGAGAACAUGGUACUAUUGGAGAGGCAAAGAGGCAUGCAGUUAGAGUAUUGGCCUGUGUUUGCUGUCUAAAUAUUCCAUCUCGUUAACGUUGCCCAUCUUAUGACCAUGAGAAUUAAAAAAGAAUUACGGUUUAUCUAGUGUUGCCUUAAAAUACUACAGAAAGUUAGGUCACCCACAACGCCAUCACAUGCGUUUAGUUACCUUGACACGAAUAUGCCAAGGGUUUCCCUUGUUAUAAAUAGCUAAGUUAGCGAAUCAUUUGCAAAUUAAGCUUUCAGAACUGGUAAAGUAACUAAAAAAUGGCAGCCUUACCUCCCAUCUCUGAUGUACAUCAACCCGUUAGGUCGAUUAGUUUACCCUCCAGGGUCCAUCCCACUUGUGUUAAACUUGAAGCCGCACUUAACCAUCUAAAAGCCUGGAAAACAUCCUCAGUUUCAACCAGUACUGCUGGUUUUUCCG
rnacentral:lncRNA from 1 species